rnacentral:lncRNA from 1 species
GGCCAGACUGGAAGUGCCUGAGGAGGGAGGAGGUGAGGGAGCAGAGCAGAUUCACUUGAAGUCAGGCGACUUCUCAUUUCCCUUUGCAGCACUUUCAACCACCUGGCUUAGUUAGCGAGGUGUCGUUUUUUUUCAGACCUUCUUACCAUUUUAACAGACCGUGGUGUCUUUGAGUAGCACUCACAAGGAGAGGUACAUGAGUUAGUUAGUGACUUAGGUAAGGUUAGUUGAUAGACUGCUUACCUAGUAUGCCCAAAGCCUAGGGGUUGAUUCGCAGCACCACGUGAACGGUGCGUGGUAGUACCACACUAUAAUCCUAGCGCUUAAGAGGUGGAGGCAGGAAGUCAGUUCUUUUCCUCAGUGAUGUAACAAGUUCAAGGCCAGCUUGGGACACACGAGAGAACUCUGUUUCAAAAUAAUUAUUAUGUAAAUAAAUACACAAGAGUUUUUCAUUUUGUACAGCUGUUCCUUCGUAUCCUCAGGGUCUGACAACCAACCCCUGGGAUGACAGAAUCCCAGUGUGCAGUCGCUGGUAUAAAAUGGUCUAGUAUCUGCAUAUAACCUAAGCACAACCUGCCAUGUGCUUUAAAUUACCUCUAGCGUACUCGGACUGUCUCUUACAGCGCAAGGCUGUGUGAGUAGCUAUUGUGCUUUAUUGUUUGGGGAAUAAUGACGAGGAGAAGAGUCUGCUCAGUGCAGAUGGGUUUCUUGCUUUUCUGUGUAGCCUAGGCUAGCCUCUAAUUUGCCGUCCUCUGUGUGCUGCCGCGCCUGGCUCCAGAUAGAAACUUUCUUCCUGGCAUUUCCAGACUGAGGUCGUGGAACCUGUGGAUACAGACUGCACUUGGUGAUCACUUUCCAAUUAGUGAUUGAGAGUGGGAUGUGCCCUUCAGGUCUUCAUUAAGCAUGCAUUGAAGUUUUGCCGAAUGUAAUAUGUUCGGGCCCUGACGAGACCAUAGGAGAGUGCAUUGCUGAUUUGCCUUCCUGGGAACUGUCAUGUGAGAGGAGUGCAGCAGGGCUUCAGUUGACAGUGCUGUUCCUCACUGUGCUGUUUGCUGUGUUCCCUGGCUUAGAGGACCUCAGAGAAGGCAGGGAGUUCACAAUUCAGACCCAAGGCAGUAGGGCCCCAUAGCCGUGCCUGUUAAUCAGUCCCUGCUUUUCUGCCUCUCUUGCUAACAGAGUUAAUCAGAUCACAGCCUAGAGACAGGAACUGGUGUAUCUGAUACGGUCUGAGCUAAGGCACAUCGGGCAGUAUUUGAAAUAGUUUCAGGUCACCUUGCUUUGCUGUCUGAUAGGAUUUAGGGCUGAGACGAAGAGGCUGGGUGGAACUCACUGUUGGCAAGAGAGCUUAGGAAUAUGGAGUCAACGCUAAACUGGGCCUAAAGCCAUCUGGAUUUUCCUGACACCUGCUUCCCAUUUAGUAGCUAAUGUUAAUUCCUAGGCAGUGUUUGAGUUUGAGGGUUUGUAGUAUAUCAUGGUAGAGCCAAGCCUCCAUCUGCUGUGAGGCCAUAGGAGCUGUGCGGUGGCAGCGCUCUGUGGAGACUGCAGGGGACUGAACCAGGGGAAGGGAUGUCAGAAUCAGGGGACUGAACCAGGGGAAGGGAUGUCAGAAUGCUGCCUGUUGCUCUUAGCUCCCUUUCUUCCUGCCUGCCUGAAGUUGAGGUCAUUAAUUUUUG